AACUUUGCGCAGUGGCGAUAUUGUAACCAAUGAAGAAAUACUGAGGUGCAAUUAUUGCUAGUUCAAAAACCAGGCAAAAACUCCAUGACUAUAACUCGGAAUGCGAUAUACGCUACAUACAUUACAAUAAAAGUUAUUAUUAUUAAAAACAAGUUGCCAUA